GUCUGGUUAAUUCCGAUAACGAACGAGACUCAAAUUUCUUAAAUAGAUGCCGGCAGGGUUAUGAUGUUGAAACUUUAUAUGCACAAAAUCCUCUAUAUGGUAUAGUGUUUUCGGAUAUUAUAUUAUAUAUGGUUUUGUUGUAUUGUAAAUGGAGUUGUACCUGGUGGUUUGUCCGAACAAGACACUUGCUUCUUAAAUGGACAAAUUGCGUCUAGCAAUAAUGAGAUUGAGCAAUAACAGGUCUGUGAUGCCCUU
rnacentral:rRNA from 1 species